GACGGGGGGGGCAGGUGUUAUUCAUCCUAACUGGGCGUAAAGGGCACGUAGGCGAUUUAUUGUGUUUUAAAUAAAAGUCUCUGGCUAAACCGGAGGAAUAUUUAUUAAACUGGUAUUUUCUGAGUCCGUUUGAAUAGGAAUUUAUGGUACUGCUAGUGGAGAAGUGGAAUUCGCAGAAAUUAGUCGGACUACCGUCGGGCGAAGGCGAUCCUAUAAUAGGGGACUGACGCUGAGGUGCAAAAGCAUAGGGAGCAAAGGAG
rnacentral:rRNA from 1 species